UACGGGGGGGGCAAGCGUUGUUCGGAAUUACUGGGCGUAAAGGGCGCGUAGGCGGUUCGAUAAGUCAGCUGUGAAAACCAUGGGCUUAACUCAUGGCCUGCAGUUGAGACUGUCGGGCUGGAGUGUGGGAGAGGAGAGUGGAAUUCCUGGUGUAGCGGUGAAAUGCGUAGAUAUCAGGAGGAACACCGGUGGCGAAGGCGGCUCUCUGGACCACAACUGACGCUGAGGCGCGAAAGCUAGGGGAGCAAACGGG
rnacentral:rRNA from 1 species